rnacentral:lncRNA from 1 species
CAUCGGUGCUAGCGGUGAUGAGAUACGACCAGUAUUAAUGAAGGGAGAUCAACGAGAAUGCUUCCCUUAAUAAAUAGUGCAAAAAAUAAACAAAAUAAUAAAGAAAAAAAUACCCGAUGCGAGUGGUGUGUCUGCCCUCCACCAGGCGGCGCGAUCCCCUUCCCGACUUUUUUCCUUCUCUUUCCCUCUCCUCCUCGCUCAUCCUCCUCCGCUUUCCUUUGUUCCCAGAGGCCGGCCCCAGUCAGUGUGGUUUCCGUUGUGCUUGGGAGCAGUCGCGUAGUCGCCCGUGUCCAGCUCCUUCUUUGUUCUUUGUUCCGAAAUCGGUCUUCUUCUUCUUCGGACCCCGAACUUCGCCUCACGCUUCCUGCCUUCGUCAAAGGGCCUCCUUUCGUUCGACACAUUGGGCGCAAGAGCGAGUUGCACGGCUGGCCCUCCGUUUCAAGUGACCUCCUUCAGCUGCGGAUGACCUGUGCUUAAUCAAGACCGCUUGAAUGGCAACUGAGAACUUGCUCCAAGCAAAAAGUGUUUUUAUGAAAUCGUGUUAGCUCGUGCGAAUUCACUGAAUAGGAACAAGUGUGUUUUCAUCGAGACAGCUCGUCUGGAAACUUGCAUUGUCGGCCUAAUAAAGUCUGAGGUUAUUAAAAUGUGAGGUAAAAAAGGAAAAA